UAGGGAGGGAGCCUGAGGUUCCAGGUCAGUCUAGUGCCCUGCAGAGCCUGCCUGGUGCAAGAUGAGGCCCCCACACUCAGCAGUGUGACCUGGCAAAGGUUCUGGAGAAGAGAGCCUGGAUUUGGAUCUCAGCUUGAUGACCUUGGGACCAUGAACUAGGAGACAUAACAUCAUCUGGGCAUUCAGGAAAGGAAGGCUUCUUGGAGGAAGAGACACCUCAUCAGAGCCUUGAAGAAUUCUGAGGAGGAAGAGCUAGUAAAGGAACAAGGUGGGGGCGUGGGGUAGGAGCAGAAGGAAAAGAUGUUCUGGAGUGGAAAGAUGAGCAUGUAUGACUGGCUGGGAGCAAACUACCACGUGGAGUGCUCGAGGAACGGAGCCUCGGAGUGGCUGAAGAUGGUGUGAGGUGCAGAGAAGCACGCGAUCCAACACUGAUCCUUUGCUCUUGGUGGAGCAGCUUGCAGAGUGGAAUGGUUGGGAGAGAGGCCAGUAGAGUGAACUCUGUUGGUCUGGUGAGAUCGUGCCCACCAGGCUUCUCUCUGCAUUACAGUGGUUACCAUGGAAACAUUAGAUCAUAGACCAAGAAGCGUCCAGUUAGCACCUCUUAUAAAAGAUGAUGACAAGGAUGAGAUGGGAAAGUGAUUUACUGACUUUCCUUUUGGCAGCAGGCUAAAAUACAUAACAUAAAAUUUACCAUUCUAGACAUUUAAAGUGUAUGGUCAUGUGGUACAUUCAUAAAAUUGUGCAGCCAACAACAACACCCAUCUCCAGAAAUUUCUCAGCAUUCUCAUAAACUGAAACUCUAUACCCUAAUAUCAGUAACUCCCAUUUCUCUCUUCUAUCCCCAGACCCUGGUAACUACUAUUCUACUUUCUGUCUCUAUGAAUUUGACGACUCUAAGUCCGUGGAACCUCCAUACAUAUAUAGUGGAAUCAUCCAAUAUUUGUCUUUUUA